rnacentral:rRNA from 1 species
CCUACGGGGGGCAGCAGUGGGGAAUAUUGGGCAAUGGGCGCAAGCCUGACCCAGCAACGCCGCGUGAAGGAAGAAGGCUUUCGGGUUGUAAACUUCUUUUCUCAGGGACGAAGAAAGUGACGGUACCUGAGGAAUAAGCCACGGCUAACUACGUGCCAGCAGCCGCGGUAAUACGGAGGAUGCGAGCGUUAUCCGGAUUUAUUGGGUUUAAAGGGUGCGUAGGCGGGCUUUUAAGUCAGCGGUAAAAAUUCGGGGCUCAACCCCGUCCGGCCGUUGAAACUGGGGAUCUAGAGUGUGCGAGAGGG